rnacentral:rRNA from 1 species
CCAGAGAUGGAUUGGUGCCUUCGGGAACUGUGAGACAGGUGCUGCAUGGCUGUCGUCAGCUCGUGUUGUGAAAUGUUGGGUUAAGUCCCGCAACGAGCGCAACCCUUAUCCUUUGUUGCCAGCGGUCCGGCCGGGAACUCAAAGGAGACUGCCAGUGAUAAACUGGAGGAAGGUGGGGAUGACGUCAAGUCAUCAUGGCCCUUACGACCAGGGCUACACACGUGCUACAAUGGCGCAUACAAAGAGAAGCGACCU